rnacentral:lncRNA from 1 species
AUGAGGGUGAUACAGAUUUUCCCGGGUUUUCUGACCAGUGAGGAAAGUGAUCCUAGAGAGAGAUCAGUACGAGCACCACCUCUAGUCCCAAUGGGAACAGCAGGUACCUGGGGGUUAGCUGGGUGGGGGGCGGGGUGGGUGGGUGCCUGGUGCAGUGUGUCCAUUAUGAUGGGGGCUCCUGGACACCCCCAUGAUCUCGCUGGAGCCCCACCCAUAGUACUGAUCUCUGGGUGAUUGACCUUGCCAGGGUUACAGCCUUGGCACAAAGUGCCCCAGGCCUAACAGGUGGUGCCGCUUUCUUAGGAGACUCUCCAAGGUAGGUUCCUAGGCCCACCCACACUCUCCCACCCUGGACACUUCUUGGACCUGCUCUGGACCUGUGGCCCUGUGGUCUCAGGUAGGUGACGUGACCCAUGUGGGUUUCCUUGUCUGCAUGA